rnacentral:rRNA from 1 species
ACGUAGGUGGCAAGCGUUGUCCGGAAUUAUUGGGCGUAAAGCGCGCGCAGGCGGUCUUUUAAGUCUGAUGUGAAAGCCCACGGCUCAACCGUGGAGGGUCAUUGGAAACUGGAAGACUUGAGUGCAGAAGAGAAGAGCGGAAUUCCACGUGUAGCGGUGAAAUGCGUAGAGAUGUGGAGGAACACCAGUGGCGAAGGCGACAUCCUGGACCGGUAUUGACGCUGAGGCGCGAAAGCCAGGGGAGCAAACGGGA